rnacentral:tRNA from 1 species
UUUUGUCCUUGAUUCUAUCAUUCAUGAUAUGCACUAGAAAUACAAGAUUGGUGGUCUCUUACUACAUUA